rnacentral:rRNA from 1 species
UACGGAGGGGGCUAGCGUUGUUCGGAAUUACUGGGCGUAAAGAGCUCGUAGGCGGUUUGUCGCGUCUGCUGUGAAAACUGGAGGCUCAACCUCCAGCCUGCAGUGGGUACGGGCAGACUAGAGUGCGGUAGGGGAGAUUGGAAUUCCUGGUGUAGCGGUGAAAUGCGCAGAUAUCAGGAGGAACACCGGUGGCGAAGGCGGGUCUCUGGGCAAUAACUGACGCUGAGGAGCGAAAGCGUGGGGAGCGAACAGG